CCUUUUUUUUGUAACGAAAAAAGCGGAUUUAGUAUUUUUUUCCUUGUAAUUGUAAUUGUAAAUAUCUACGGAAUUGGUGACUUACUCCCAAAAUUCCUUGACUGGAUCCUUCAAUAAUCCGUGGCUCAAGUUCCCGAGGGACGUGGCGCAUAUGAGGCCAUUGUUUGGCCAGUAUUCGGGCUCCCAGCACGUUACAUUCAAACGUUCGUCGGGCGUGAUGCAGUAGCGUGUGUUCCAUGAGUUGUCACAAGUUCUCCAGGAUGAAGCACCGAAGCGCCGAAUCGCGCGUGUGCUUUUACCAAGUAUGAAAUAAAAUCGCUCACCAGGACGUAGAGAAAC